rnacentral:rRNA from 1 species
AUUGAACGCUGGCGGCAUGCUUUACACAUGCAAGUCGAACGGCAGCGAGGAGAAGCUUGCUUCUCUGUCGGCGAGUGGCGUACGGGUGAGUAUAGCAUCGGAACGUGCCAAGUAGUGGGGGAUAACCAAACGAAAGUUUGGCUAAUACCGCGUAAGCUCUAAGGAGGAAAGUAGGGGACCUAAAUAAGGCCUUACGCUAUUUGAUCGGCCGAUGUCGGAUUAGCUAGUUGGUGGGGUAAUGGCUCACCAAGGCAAUGAUCCGUAGCGGGUCUGAGAGGACGAUCCGCCACACUGGGACUGAGACACGGCCCAGACUCCUACGGGAGGCAGCAGUGGGGAAUUUUGGACAAUGGGGGAAACCCUGAUCCAGCCAUGCCGCGUGUAUGAAGAAGGCCUUAGGGUUGUAAAGUACUUUUGUUAGGGAAGAAAAGCUAGUUUUUAAUAAAAAUUAGUGAUGACGGUACCUAAAGAAUAAGCACCGGCUAACUACGUG